AUUGAACGCUGGCGGCAGGCCUAACACAUGCAAGUCGAGCGGCAGCGGAAAGUAGCUUGCUACUUUGCCGGCGAGCGGCGGGCGGGUGAGUAAUGUCUGGGAAACUGCCUGAUGGAGGGGGAUAACUACUGGAAACGGUAGCUAAUACCGCAUAACGUCGCAAGACCAAAGAGGGGGACCUUCGGGCCUCUUGCCAUCAGAUGUGCCCAGAUGGGAUUAGCUAGUAGGUGGGGUAACGGCUCACCUAGGCGACGAUCCCUAGCUGGUCUGAGAGGAUGACCAGCCACACUGGAACUGAGACACGGUCCAGACUCCUACGGGAGGCAGCAGUGGGGAAUAUUGCACAAUGGGCGCAAGCCUGAUGCAGCCAUGCCGCGUGUAUGAAGAAGGCCUUCGGGUUGUAAAGUACUUUCAGCGGGGAGGAAGGUGUUGUGGUUAAUAACCACAGCAAUUGACGUUACCCGCAGAAGAAGCACCGGCUAACUCCGUGCCAGCAGCCGCCGCAG
rnacentral:rRNA from 1 species